AUUGAACGCUGGCGGCAGGCCUAACACAUGCAAGUCGAGCGGAUGAAGGGAGCUUGCUCCUGGAUUCAGCGGCGGACGGGUGAGUAAUGCCUAGGAAUCUGCCUGGUAGUGGGGGAUAACGUCCGGAAACGGGCGCUCAUACCGCAUACGUCCUGAGGGAGAAAGUGGGGGAUCUUCGGACCUCACGCUAUCAGAUGAGCCUAGGUCGGAUUAGCUAGUUGGUGGGGUAAAGGCCUACCAAGGCGACGAUCCGUAACUGGUCUGAGAGGAUGAUCAGUCACACUGGAACUGAGACACGGUCCAGACUCCUACGGGAGGCAGCAGUGGGGAAUAUUGGACAAAGGGCGAAAGCCUGAUCCAGCCAUGCCGCGUGUGUGAAGAAGGUCUUCGGAUUGUAAAGCACUUUAAGUUGGGAGGAAGGGCAGUAAGUUAAUACCUUGCUGUUUUGACGGUACCAACAGAAUAAGCACCGGCUAACUUCGUG
rnacentral:rRNA from 1 species